AGCAUAGCUCUGCGCUGCGGAAUUUGCGAAAUCAGCACAUGAUCACAUUAGAAUCAAGGCCAAUAAAACCAAAGUCUAUUAAAGCAGGUCGGCUGACUGCACCUUUCAUGAGUCCAUCGUGCGCCACCCUCUCAACAUCCUUGUGAGCUUGCAGCUUCUGGAAAUCUACCUUGGCCUUCUCGAACUCAGCCUCAAAAUGCAUUGCCCUCGCGUGCCAGCACUCGGCAUGGAGGAUUUUUU
rnacentral:lncRNA from 1 species